AGCAACAGGUCCUGAUCAAAUUUUGUUUUGGUCUUAUGAUUUUGUGCAGAGUUGUGUCCUUGAACUAUAUAAAUUAUCUCAAUCUGUUUUUCUCACCUUUUUUUUGCCAUGCUGGAAGAUAUUGAUUUGAUGAUUGGUAUAUAGUUUAUUUAUAAGUUGCAAAUCUAUUUUGUCAUCCUUGGGCCACACUUAAAUAUAUUUUGGUUUGCCUAAACCCUACCCAAGGUAGAGAUUGCGGGUAGGUAGGUAGGCAUUUUCUUUUUAUUUCUUCAGCAAAGAUAAAAUGAAGUGUCAGAUGUUCUUUAGUCUUCAUGCCUUAUUAAAACAAAAAACCUUUUUCACACCAGGAC
rnacentral:lncRNA from 1 species